UUACGGCCAUAUCACGUUGGGACACCAGUUCUCAUGAGAUCACCAGAUCUAAGCAACGUUGACCCUGGUCAGUACCUAGAUGGGUGACCGCUUGGGAAUUCCAGGUCGU